rnacentral:rRNA from 1 species
ACGGGAGGCAGCAGUGGGGGAUAUUGCACAAUGGGGGAAACCCUGAUGCAGCGACGCCGCGUGAGUGAAGAAGUAUUUCGGUAUGUAAAACUCUAUCAGCAGGGAAGAAAAUGACGGUACCUGACUAAGAAGCCCCGGCUAACUACGUGCCAGCAGCCGCGGUAAUACGUAGGGGGCAAGCGUUAUCCGGAUUUACUGGGUGUAAAGGGAGCGUAGACGGCUAUGCAAGUCUGAUGUGAAAGCCCGGGGCUCAACCCCGGCACUGCAUUGGAAACUGUAGAGCUAGAGUGCAGGAGAGGUAAGUGGAAUUCCUAGUGUAGCGGUGAAAUGCGUAGAUAUUAGGAGGAACACCAGUGGCGAAGGCGGCUUACUGGACUGUAACUGACGUUGAGGCUCGAAAGCGUGGGGAGCAAACAGGAUUAGAUACCCUGGUA